GGCGAACGGGUGAGUAACACGUGAGCAACCUGCCCUGGACUCUGGGAUAAGCGCUGGAAACGGCGUCUAAUACUGGAUAUGAGCUCCUUCCGCAUGGUGGGGGUUGGAAAGAUUUUUCGGUCUGGGAUGGGCUCGCGGCCUAUCAGCUUGUUGGUGAGGUAAUGGCUCACCAAGGCGUCGACGGGUAGCCGGCCUGAGAGGGUGACCGGCCACACUGGGACUGAGACACGGCCCAGACUCCUACGGGAGGCAGCAGUGGGGAAUAUUGCACAAUGGGCGGAAGCCUGAUGCAGCAACGCCGCGUGAGGGAUGACGGCCUUCGGGUUGUAAACCUCUUUUAGCAGGGAAGAAGCGAAAGUGACGGUACCUGCAGAAAAAGCGCCGGCUAACUACGUGCCAGCAGCCGCGGUAAUACGUAGGGCGCAAGCGUUAUCCGGAAUUAUUGGGCGUAAAGAGCUCGUAGGCGGUUUGUCGCGUCUGCUGUGAAAUCCCGAGGCUCAACCUCGGGCCUGCAGUGGGUACGGGCAGACUAGAGUGCGGUAGGGGAGAUUGGAAUUCCUGGUGUAGCGGUGGAAUGCGCAGAUAUCAGGAGGAACACCGAUGGCGAAGGCAGAUCUCUGGGCCGUAACUGACGCUGAGGAGCGAAAGGGUGGGGAGCAAACAGGCUUAGAUACCCUGGUAGUCCACCCCGUAAACGUUGGGAACUAGUUGUGGGGACCAUUCCACGGUUUCCGUGACGCAGCUAACGCAUUAAGUUCCCCGCCUGGGGAGUACGGCCGCAAGGCUAAAACUCAAAGGAAUUGACGGGGACCCGCACAAGCGGCGGAGCAUGCGGAUUAAUUCGAUGCAACGCGAAGAACCUUACCAAGGCUUGACAUAUACGAGAACGGGCCAGAAAUGGUCAACUCUUUGGACACUCGUAAACAGGUGGUGCAUGGUUGUCGUCAGCUCGUGUCGUGAGAUGUUGGGUUAAGUCCCGCAACGAGCGCAACCCUCGUUCUAUGUUGCCAGCACGUAAUGGUGGGAACUCAUGGGAUACUGCCGGGGUCAACUCGGAGGAAGGUGGGGAUGACGUCAAAUCAUCAUGCCCCUUAUGUCUUGGGCUUCACGCAUGCUACAAUGGCCGGUACAAAGGGCUGCAAUACCGUAAGGUGGAGCGAAUCCCAAAAAGCCGGUCCCAGUUCGGAUUGAGGUCUGCAACUCGACCUCAUGAAGUCGGAGUCGCUAGUAAUCGCAGAUCAGCAACGCUGCGGUGAAUACGUUCCCGGGUCUUGUACACACCGCCCGUCAAGUCAUGAAAGUCGGUAA
rnacentral:rRNA from 1 species